UCCUUCAGCAAGCAGCAGCAUAUGCACACCUCAAACUCACCAGGAUACUAAGCCAGCUAAGCUGAGAUUGGAUAUGGGGUCCUUUGCUAAAGCUGCGCGUUUCCUGGUGCCUCUCCAGAUCGCCUUGUUCGUCGUCUCAGCCGUCAUCAUGAACAGCUCAGUCUGCCAUGGAGCUCGCGACAUCAGUGCAGGAAUCGGCUACCCUUCUUUGAACCCUAACCAUCCUCCGUGCGCCAGGAAACCGUGCCCGUCGCCUGGUCAGCCCUACACCCGCGGACCCCCUCCCCCAAACAACGGAGGAAUUGGACGGCCUUGAUGCAUCAUGUCUCCCUCUAGCAGUGCAAGUUACUACCACGAUCUUGCACUGAAUCGGCAGCAAUAUUGUCUCGUGUACUUACGUUAUGGUUGUGCGAACAUGAAACUUCGGUUCAGAAUUAAUAAAAGACAUUGAUGAGAGCGCACUGUAUAGGAGUUUGUUUAUGUGUGUAAUUAUAUGUAUCAACUGAGAACAGACCGUCGGUCUGGUGGCAAGACGUGCGGGG